rnacentral:rRNA from 1 species
UACAGAGGUCCCAAGCGUUGUUCGGAUUCACUGGGCGUAAAGGGUGCGUAGGUGGCCGGGUAAGUCUGACGUGAAAUCUCCGAGCCUAACUCGGAAACUGCAUCGGAUACUAUCCGGCUUGAGGGUUGGAGGGGGGACUGGAAUACUUGGUGUAGCAGUGAAAUGCGUAGAUAUCAAGUGGAACACCAGUGGCGAAGGCGAGUCCCUGGACAGCUCCUGACACUGAGGCACGAAAGCUAGGGGAGCAAACAGG